AUUGAACGCUGGCGGCAUGCCUUACACAUGCAAGUCGAACGGCAGCACGGGGCAACCUGGUGGCGAGUGGCGAACGGGUGAGUAAUGCAUCGGAACGUACCUUUCAGUGGGGGAUAACGUAGCGAAAGUUACGCUAAUACCGCAUAUUCUGUGAGCAGGAAAGCAGGGGAUCGCAAGACCUUGCGCUGAUUGAGCGGCCGAUGUCAGAUUAGCUAGUUGGUGAGGUAAAGGCUCACCAAGGCGACGAUCUGUAGCGGGUCGGAGAGGAUGAUCCGCCACGCUGGAACUGAGACACGGUCCAGACUCCUACGGGAGGCAGCAGUGGGGAAUUUUGGACAAUGGGGGCAACCCUGAUCCAGCCAUGCCGCGUGAGAGAAGAAGGCCUUCGGGUUGUAAAGCUCUUUCGGCCGGGAAGAAAUCGCACGGGCUAAUACCCUGUGUGGAUGACGGUACCGGAAUAAGAAGCACCGGCUAACUACGUGCCAGCCGCCGCCGUAAUAC
rnacentral:rRNA from 1 species